GGGGCCGCCGCCGAGCUCCGCUCCGCUCCGCUCCCGGCCGGACACAGCGGGCACUGCCGCUGGUGUCGCAGGACAGAUUCUCCGGGCACUCGAGCUGGGGCCGCCGCCCGAAUCGGACACCGCGGACACUCGAGUUGCUGCCGCAGGACGGAGCCGAUGUGGGAGCGGCUUUUGGCCGCUGUGAACACUCGGCGUGAGGGAAACCAGCGGGGGCGGGGAAGGGAGCGAAGGCCAGGGCGUGUCAUGGAAAUCACCGUGGCAGUUUUGUUUUCUUGUAUGACAGUGACUCCCGGCCCCAUAUUCGGAGCCAGAGGCACAUUCAGAAGCAGAAACCACGCGAGGCGACCACUCCUGUCCUACAAAAACCUCGCUAAGAACAAGGGCCCCACUUUGUUGGAGCCGGUGAAGAACCGCAGCCCCGGGGAAGGAGCUCCUGGGGCUCUGAGCAGUGAAUUACCGCGGGGGUUCUUGGGCUGGGCCAGGCCAGGUGCCCGGUGCCAGCACAGCCGCUCUGUGCCCCUCCUGCUGCCCCUGGGCAGGCAACAGAGCACAGGAAAGGCUCGAGUGUCGGGAAAGGCCAGGGAGAGAUCACUCCCCGGUCACCGGAAUAAGGGACACGACCGGGGGGAAUUCUUGGAAUUUCUUAUCAAACCGAUCAUUGCAAGAGAACGAGAGGCGAAGCAGCCGGGUCCAGCCUCGGCAGCAGGACUGUGCCCUCGGCCCCUGGCCGCUGCCCGAGGGGAUGAAGGAUGCCCGGCCGAGCAGCGGCUCUGCCCAGCACGGGGAUGUGCCCGCAGCCCCCGCUCCGUGCCGGGCUCGCAGGGCCGAGCGCGGAGCGGGGCUGAGCUGCUCCAUGGAGCUCCCAGCGCUGCCGGCUCCGGCGGGCGGGCACGGGCCGUGCCGGGCGUCCGGCGGCAUCGCUCGGUGCCGGGCGGGUUUGCCGUGCCAGGGACCGCCUGAGUGCAGCGGCAGCGCCAGCCCAUCCUCGCCCUUCUGUUCCAGCUGCUGCAGGAAUUAAACCGGGGGAAACUCCCUCUUGUCGCCAGGUCAAAGCCCUGAGUCGAGGGGAGAACGGAGCUUCCCUCUCGAUUUAGAUCCCUACAUGAUGCAUAAGGAUCAUUUCCCCUCACUUUAAUCCCAAAUAAAAAGUGAAUCAAGGGGGAUUUUCCUCAGUUUAGCCUCCUGAAACAAGGGGAAAUGCAGUUUCCGUCUUCAGUUUCCCUCAAGACCAUUCUGGGGGCUUUUGGACAUCUUUCUCAUCUGUGAAGGUCCCUUCAGAUGGAGGGUCCCCUCGAUGGCACUCUUACCAUGGCUCAUCAAGGGGUUCCUCUCAAGGGAAGCCCUUUCAGAGCAGGCAUGUGGUAAUCGGCGGAAGAAAUGCAGCACUCAAUAUGAGUGAUCAGCAAAUCUCAAAACUUUAUUGAUAGGCACAUACAUUUAUAUUGGUGUUAAUGAGGCUAAUACAUAUUGCAAAAGGUGAGCUCAUUAUUGGUUAGUUACUUAUCAGCUAACUACGCCUACCUUAUCAUUCUUGAGGCUACUAUGCUGCAGCUGUUCACAUCUUUUCUUCAUGUUUCUAACUAACGAUCCUCUCCCCCAUCCUGAUGUUGCACCAAGGGCACAGUGCCCUUGCCAGGUUUGGACACUGACUGCUGACUCCUAUCCUCGUCUCCUUCAUCCCUAACUAACGGUAUUAUGUCAGUGUGACCUUUGUUAGCUAGCCAGCUGUUCACAAAAUCCUCCACACUUCCCCUGUUUUUCUGUUGCACAAGCAUAGUCUGAUUAGAUGCAGCAAAUAUCAUUCUUUGAACCAUGUUCUGUAAGCACAUGCAAAAACAAGGCAAAACUAACACUACUAACAAAGCUAUAAUGCCUACUAUAAUGAUGACUCUAACAAUAGAGCACAACCAUGAUCCCAAGCCUAAAGAUUUGAGCCACUCAUCAAUGCCAGAGUCCGAUUCUACCUGUAAAUUUCCAGUUAACCUUCACAGCUCAGAGAGCUGGGAGUGAAUGGACUGGGAAUGAUCAGAGAGGUUCAUGCAACACAUGCCCUCAAAUUCUUCACAACCAUGGCCUUGUGCCAGUAAAAGGAAAUCAAUUGCAGCUCUAUUCUGAAGCGUUGCAUGGCGAAUAGAAUCAACAUCAAGCAAAAGGCUAGAAAGUGCUAAAGAGGUGGCAUUAGUUUGUUUAGCAAGCCAGCAUCCUAGCUUGUUUAAAAUGGCAUGGGCACCUGCUGCUGAUACCCCUAGAGCUAAAAAGGAUGCUGCCACUAUGGCCCCUGGGGACCAAAAUUUUACAUCAUCUUUGCAGUCAGCAGCAAACGCAUGGGCCAUUCUUUUAAUUCUGUGAUAGCAGCGGCUCAUAUUAAGGAUCAUUGAUGUAUUGGGUGUGAGUAGAGACAAGCGACCAAUUGUACAUGGCCCCCCGCUCAGCAUCGAUGGGACACCGGGCCAAGCACGAUCCCCACAUAUUAAAAAGUAACCUGCUGGUAAUUGAAUAGGGUCAUUUGAUGAGAUCGACACCCUCUUUGUGGUAUAAUUGCACCAGGUUGUUGCAUUACGGUAAAUGGCCAUGCUGGAGGUUACAAUAGUAGAAUAGUUUUUGGCUGGCAGCUGACUUUUAUGCUUAAACCUAAGGCAUGCAUCUGCCAUCACUGAGCCUAACAGUUCCAAUUCUUGGGGUUCCUGCGGUGCUAUAGGAAAAUGAGAAAUCCAUUGGUCCCAGUUAUCUACACUGACCCUGGCGUCAUUGGUUUUGCAGGUGGGUAUUUUCGAUGGGCAUGGCCAGGGAUCUGCCGGCAGUCCAACCAAACAGGUUGUAAAUGGAUUACCGGGAGAAGAUAAUGACAAGCAAAUAGCCUCCUGGUUAGUUAAAUUUGCCAUGGUGAUCCAGAUAUUAGUCUUGGGCUGAGGUGGGGCCCACGCUUGGUGGGUUCCCACUCCUUUGGCAAUGUCUGGGCUGUCUAUUAAGAGGGCAAAUACGAGUAAAACUGUAGCAUAAGUCUGCCACAUCACCCUGAUCUUCCCAGGCGCUGUUUUGAACCAUCCAGACAUUUGGGGAAUUAACAGGUUGCCCACAAACCGUUAAGAAUGUCUCUUCCUUCCUCUCCCCCUUUUCUUUCUUGAGCCGCCCAGACUUAAUCUUUUUAGAGCCCUUAAACAAUCGUCCCACACUUGAUUAGGAUCUUGAUCCCCCAGAAUCGGACCUACUACAUCUAACUGGGAGAGGGGAAUACCCCGACCACAUUUAAGACUGUAAGAUACACGACUGAGAUUGCCCUAAAGCGCGUCUGGCAAAGUGCUGGGUUUCCCACCUAAACCAUGCGAGAAUUUUCUGUUCUGGGGACUCAUACAACUGUAACCCUUGGCGGCCAGGUAACCCUGUAAAGGCCUGGAGUUCUGCUUGCCAGGAAUCCCGCUGCCAAUAAAAUGCACAGCUUCUGCACCACAGCUCAGGUAACUGGGACUGAUGCACCCACUUAGUUUGCUGACACCCCCCGCAAAAGAACAAUAUCCAUGCAGCACACAGAGUUAUUUUGACACUUAAUACAAGCUAAUCUCUUAGGCCCUCUAUAAUAAAACGUAUGAAGCGCCGUGUGGGAGCUCAGUACAUCACUCCGGAUGUCCAGAGCUACCGAGACAACCCUUGGGGGGCUCGGAGGCCCUGGAAUGUUGCCAAAAGUACCUGGUGGCUUGACUUUGAUCCUUUUAAAGAAAUGACACCUGAAGGUGAGGAGAUGAGAGAAUUUCAUGUCUAAAUGGUGAGGGGAUGUUAUUCACUUGUUAGAAGUUAAGUUAGAAUGCACUGUACAGGGGGGUUUUAUGUGUUGUACAGGGGGGUCUAGAAUUCUGUACAUGGAUCAGGAGUCCCAAGAUGGAGGAAUUUGGGCGUGCCCUGUCCUUCUUCUUUCUUCUCCUUGGCAUCCAUGUUCAGGAUGAUGUUGGCAUGUGUGGAUUGGUUCAUGGAAAGAGGACACUUGCCAACAAGGGCAGAAAGUAUUGGGAAGUAAAGGUAAAUAUCUAAUACAUAGUUUUCACUAUAAAAGAGACAACCGCCUCGUGGGCGGGAGAGAGUGCCUUUGGCUGUCCUGCUGAACAGACCUCGGCUGGACAGACAGAAAAUCUUUGUAGAUAAGAAAUAAUAAACUCGACUGAAGACCGAAAGCAAGAGUCCAGACUCCUUCUUCGAGAGCGCGGCCUACCCAGAACCACUUUUUCCCGUGCUGGGGCAGAGACAAGCAACAGCCGACCCCAGCAUCUGGCGUCCCUGGGUGGGCACGAAGGGGGGCCCGAAGGUGGGCACGAAGAACGAAAAGCGAAAAGGACAGCUCGAGCGGAGAGCCGAAGAGUGAGCUGCAAAGAGAACACCCAGGUGGGCAGCACCCGAGCGGGCAGCUCCCAGGCGGGCAGUUCCCGGAGCUGGACUCAUUCCCAGGAGAGCACUGAUAACUCCUUGGGAAGGCAGCCAGAAGAGUCCGAAGAAGCAGCAGCCAAAGAGAGAACACCGCACUCCACUUCUCCCGAAGAAACCUCGUAUCAGAACAGCCCGGAGUGGAAUCAGAAGGGCCCCUGAAUCCAUCUCCUGUGACCUGCUGGACGGGAACCGGGAGCCUCCAGACUGCUCUGACGACACAAAUUCGAGCAAGGUCCGAAGUGGGUGUCGGCACGACACGUGAAGCCGUUUCGAACUCAAGAACAAAAGAACACAGAUCCCGGAAACAGAGAGACAAGUACUCAGACAGAGGAGGAGACUCAAACUACAAGCAAUAAUCUAGAAGAAACAGAAGAAUAAAAGACUUUGGGGGGUUUUCUGAAAAGCUUUGGGUGGAAAAUGGUGAUAUUUAGUCAGGAAGGUGGGGUGAUAAACUUUGCAAUGUUCAUGUGUUUUGUCUCAUUGCCAAUGGUUUUGAACAACAAAGCAAAUUUACCAGUCAAUCAACCAGAGAAAAAUGUUUGGGAAGCUUUAGCCCAAGCAGCAGAUUUAGAUAGCAUUUGCCUGACGCACUCCAGACCAGGGAGGCCAUUUUCAGCAUGCAUGAUUGGAUUGCCAGUGAAUGAAUGGCCAAUUCCAGGACACACUGCAAUCGAGAUCUCACAGGUCGUUAAAGAUCCUGUGAAUGAAUGGUAUACUUGGACACAUUCUCUUCCUGUGGCUUCUUCUGAACCUCAGGAAUUGGAGAUUUUCGGGUCCAUGACAAUGAAUGUAUGCAUGCAAUUUGAAAUUUCAGGUACAGCAAAGCCAAACAAAACUAUUGAUGUUACUCCCAAUCAUGAAUUCUACAGAAAUGCGUCAGCCUGGUGCAACAACACCAUGGUGACAGACAAAGGGUCACUCCAAGUCCCAGUGCAACUGCCAAAGAGAUUCUUUUUGAUUUGUGGAGACAGGAUUUGGCAUGGUAUUCCUGCGAAUGCCAAGGGAGGUCCAUGCAGCAUUGGAAGAAUUUCAAUGCUGACGCCAGAUUUAAAGAUGCAGAGAGAACAAAAACAUAAAGAAAAAAGAUCUUUACAAUAUUUCGAUGAGAAUUGUGAUGACAGGGUUUACACUUGGAGCAAGGCAAGGAGAAUUGCGAUAGCAAUUUUCUCACCUCAGGCAGCAUCAGGAAUUGCUUUGACUCAAUUGGAUCGUAUGGGUUGUUGGCUAAGCAAGCAUGCUCAAUCAGUCUCUCUUGCACUGAGUGACAUGUUACAAGACAUGAACAGUGUAAGACGGGCAACUCUGCAAAACAGAGCAGCAAUCGAUUAUCAUUUGCUUGCUCACGGCCAUGGGUGCAAAGAAUUUGAAGGAAUGUGCUGUAUGAAUCUCUCCGACCAUUCCAGGUCAAUUCAUGAAAAUAUCGAAAAAAUAGAGGAGAGUGUGAAGAAACUUGGCGAGAUCACAGGAUCUUGGAUUGAGGACAUAGCAAAGUUUUUUGAUCUUUCACCUUUGGGAAAAGAAAUUUUAAAGAUAGGGUUUCAAAUUUUGGUGAUUCUCAUAGUUCUCUUGAUUGUAAUCCCAUGCAUUCUUUUGUGUGUGCGGAGUGUCAUGAGUCGAGUUGUAAAGAGGGUGCUUUUGGUGCAAACAGAAGGGAGAGAUGUGGGAGCUCAGUACAUCACUCCGGAUGUCCAGAGCUACCGAGACAACCCUUGGGGGGCUCGGAGGCCCUGGAAUGUUGCCAAAAGUACCUGGUGGCUUGACUUUGAUCCUUUUAAAGAAAUGACACCUGAAGGUGAGGAGAUGAGAGAAUUUCAUGUCUAAAUGGUGAGGGAAUGUUAUUCACUUGUUAGAAGUUAAGUUAGAAUGCACUGUACAGGGGGGUUUUAUGUAUUGUACAGGGGGGUCUAGAAUUCUGUACAUGGAUCAGGAGUCCCAAGAUGGAGGAAUUUGGGCGUGCCCUGUCCUUCUUCUUUCUUCUCCUUGGCAUCCAUGUUCAGGAUGAUGUUGGCAUGUGUGGAUUGGUUCACGGAAAGAGGACACUUGCCAACAAGGGCAGAAAGUAUUGGGAAGUAAAGGUAAAUAUCGAAUACGUAAUUUUCAUUAUAAAAGAGACAACCACCUCGUGGGCGGGAGAGAGUGCCUUUGGCUGUCCUGCUGAACAGACCUCGGCUGGACAGACAGAAAAUCUUUGUAGAUAAGAAAUAAUAAACUCGACUGAAGACCGAAA